GGGGUUCUUAACGGGCAUACUGUGUGCAAUGAACAAAUCCCUCGCAGGCCUGGUAGACCUCCUAAGAAGAUAAAAAUUGGCGUGGAAGGUACAUACAGCUAUAGUAAUGGAGAAAUGGCUCUAAAAACUGCUGGAGAAGUUAAAAUGGCUGAUGGAAAUGGGGACGGGAAUUUGAAACAAAAUAUUAAGCUUCUAAAUCCUGCUGAAGCUUCAAUAAAAAGACAUUCCGCUGCUCCUGCAUUUGAUGCAAGACGGUUACUAAUUGACAAGGCAAGAGCAGAAA
rnacentral:misc_RNA from 1 species